GCAACUCUUUAUGCAGACUAGACUGUAACGGGGGGCACGGUGGAAGACUGGUUAGCAUAUACUGUAUGCCUCAAAGUUCUGGGGACGCGGGUUCAAAUUUGGACUCGCCUGUGUGGAGUUUGCAUGUACUCCGGUUUCCUCCCACAUCCCAAAAACAUGCAUGGUAGGUUGAUUGAAGACUAAAGUGCCCGUAAGUGUGAAUGUGAGUGCGGAUGGUUGUUUGGUUAUAUGUGCCCUGCGAUUGGCUGGUGACCAAUUCAGGGUGUACCCCGCCUCUCGACUGCAGUUAAAUGGGAUAGGCUCCAGCAUACCCGCGACCCUACUGAGAAUAAGCGCUGUAGAAAAUGGAUGGACGGAUACACUAUAAAUACACUGAAUAAUGUGUGUGACUGUGUUUAAUAAACAGUUAACUUUCGCUCAAGUGUCUCCUGUUACAAAAAUACAGACAAAGAUGCUGACGCAUUAAAACGACCCUGCUGCCAGUCUAGCUAGUGGUUUAAUUCAUUAGCUUGUUAGCCCACAGGCUAGCGAACAUAACUCGUUUAUGUUUCCUUAAGUGUCUGUUGUGACCAGGGAUGGGCAACUGGCGGCCCAUGCCCACUCUGUGUGGCCCCUCGAUUAUUUUUUUUUUAACAUUGAAAAAAUGCUUCCUCAACCAUACAUGAUCUGCUUUAAGUUGUAGGCACGCCAUUCACCACCAGAUGGGAGACAUCGGUUGAUAGCACUUCCACAGAGAAUCAGAGAAGAAUAUACAGACACCGUUAGCCAUGGUUGAUUUUUUUUGGCACUGGUAAACCGCUCAAUGAAGCACAAAUGCGUUCAACUCUCAGAAGAAGGUGGCAUAUCCUGUUGAGACCCCAGGCAUCCUCAAUGCCGCUUAUCCUGUUCAGUCGCGGGGCGCUGGAGCCUAUCCCAGCUGACUUGGGCGAAAGGCGGACUAGGCCCUGAAGUGGUCACCACACAAAGAAACGGACAACCAUUCCCACUCACAUUCCCACAGUCGCUGAGUGGGAACUGAACCCACGUUGCCCGCACCAAAGUCAGGUGGAUGUACCACUACCUCAUCAGUGAUUGUGUCUGAAUUUCCAAAUUUUUGAAAUUUAAUGUUAAUGUUUAAUGUUUCUUUGGUCCAAUACUUUUUCUCACUUGAAAAGUGUGUGGCUUCAAAGAAAAGGUGCUCUGUACUGAGUUGUUUAACACAUCCAUCCAUUUUCUUUACCGCUUAUCCUCACUAGGGUCGUAGGCUGCUGGAGCCUAUCCCAGCUAUCUUUGGGCGAGAGGCGGGGUACACCCUGAACUGGUCGCCAGCCAAUCGGAGGGUUUUUGGGAUGUGGGAGGAAACCGGAGUACCCGGAGAAAACCCACACAGGCACGGGGAGAACAUGCAAACUCCACACAGGCGGGGCCGGGAUUUGAACCCCGGUUUUCAAAAUUGUGAGGCAGAUGCGCUAACCAGUCGGCCACCACUGUUUAACACAUCUGGAUGUAAAUACCAUGAAAUAAAAGCUGGAUUUGUCGGAUAGUCAUCUUUUGAUCUGAAACACAAAUGU